rnacentral:rRNA from 1 species
ACCCGCUGAACUUAAGCAUAUCAAUAAGCGGAGGAAAAGAAACCAACAGGGAUUGCCUUAGUAACGGCGAGUGAAGCGGCAACAGCUCAAAUUUGAAAGCUGGCCCUUUUAGGGUCCGCGUUGUAAUUUGUAGAGGAUGAUUCGGCGAGGGCUCCUGCCUAAGUCCCCUGGAACGGGGCGUCAUAGAGGGUGAGAAUCCCGUAUGCGGUAGGUUGCCUUAGCCAUGUGAAUCUCCUUCGACGAGUCGAGUUGUUUGGGAAUGCAGCUCUAAAUGGGAGGUAAAUUUCUUCUAAAGCUAAAUACCGGCCAGAGACCGAUAGCGCACAAGUAGAGUGAUCGAAAGAUGAAAAGCACUUUGGAAAGAGAGUUAAAAAGUACGUGAAAUUGUUGAAAGGGAAGCGCUUGCAACCAGACUUGUCCGCAGUUGCUCAGCCGGUCUCCUGACCGGCGUACUCUUCUGCGGCCAGGCCAGCAUCAGUUCGGGCGGUCGGAUAAAGGCCUCGGGAAUGUGGCUCCUCUCGGGGAGUGUUAUAGCCCGGGGUGCAAUGCGGCCAGCCUGGACUGAGGAACUCGCUUCGGCAAGGAUGCUGGCGUAAUGGUUGUAAGCGGCCCGUCUUGAAACACGGACCAAGGAGUCUAACAUCUAUGCGAGUGUUCGGGUGUCAAACCCGUACGCGUAAUGAAAGUGAACGGAGGUGGGAACCCGCAAGGGUGCACCAUCGGCCGAUCCUGAUGUCUUCGGAUGGAUUUGAGCAAGAGCAUAGCUGUUGGGACCCGAAAGAUGGUGAACUAUGCCUGAAUAGGGUGAAGCCAGAGGAAACUCUGGUGGAGGCUCGCAGCGGUUCUGACGUGCAAAUCGAUCGUCAAAUUUGGGUAUAGGGGCGAAAGACUAAUCGAACCAUUAACAUUGGCUUCAAAGGGAGUCCU